UGAUCUCGAAUGAAUUGCGUCUCAUUUAUCACGCAAACCAAAACCAAAAUUGCGUCGAUAUAACGACGCAUUCUCUUUUAUGUCACACAUGCGCAGUAGCCAGCACUAUCUUUUAAGGCCAGGAGGCUUUAUUGUUAGCCUAUUUAUAACAAAAACAAAACGUUAUUCACGUUGCUUAACGUAACGACUCAUUAUAAAUAUGCUGUUAAGUCCCCACAAACUAAUGAGCUCUUUUGGGCUGUUAAAGUCAAGUUUUGAUUUUAGCAAGUCUUUUUCUGUUUGAUUGAAUUAAAACGAACCCUGUAAACAUUGACAUAAAUUUGUCCAGAGCGUGAUUUGCGCACAACAACCUCUAGGCCUACAACGUUUUGAAUAGUUUCAAAUAUUUCAUUCAUAAAUCCCCAGACCCCCUCCCUCUGCUACUACACCAAUGAUGUCAUUUUAUUGCGACCACUCUCUGGAUUGUGGAUUUUACGGACUGCAUUCCCAUGUACUGGGUUUAGCUGGACCGUAUUGGACUGGAGGUGACAGGAUAUUUUGUACCUGCUUCGGACUGGUUCUGUCAUUAACCUACUGAGCUGGUGCUUCUGUCCCAGGUAAAAUGUGUUUGAACUUACAUUUGCAUCUAUACAUGAAGUAGGCAGCCUAGAGCAGGAGGCGGGCGUCAGAUCAGAGGGUUGCAGGCAUCUCCAUCGCAUCGCUCCUAGGCAUCUGAAAGUGUACCGUUGCGCACAGAUCAUGCUGGUAACGAGUUAUUCAAAGGGUCUACCAAUCAUGGCAAAAACAGAAAUCCAGCUCCUCAGCCCAGGCAGUGCCAACAACCCAGCUGAUCCAGGAGCUGCAGCGAGGGGUAGUGAUGACACCCCGACUGCCCUCUUCAACCAUUCCCAUGGAAUUCAUCCUGUCCAGCCUCCGUCAGAUAAUCCAGCCCUCCCCCUCCUACUUCCAGAGACUAAUUUGCAGAUUCUAACGGGUAUGUGCUAAGGAGAUGAUGAGUGAACACGCUGCCAGUUUGGUUGCAGUGUGUCACCGAAUUCCGUAGAUUCAUCAUCACUAUGUGGGGUGGAAGCUGCACAGACUACAACAAGGCUUCUGGGACCCCACUCCCCUCAAGCAAGACAUUUACCACCUGCUUCACCUAUGAAGGACUGAUUAUUGGCAGUGAUGUAUACCACAACGCAUACAAGCUGUUCAGCCUGCUGCCCUCCGGGUAGAGGUACAGGAGUAUCUGCUUCCGCAACUCCAGACUCGCCAACAUCUUCAUCUACCAGACUGUCAUGCCAAAUCGUCCCUCCUCUCUCCCAUCCCAGGAUGCCGAAUUAUGACCAAGUGACUGAAGAACUGCCAUACGUCUUCACUUGGUCAUGGCAUGACCAGAGGCUGUAUGCAAACUCACAGUAUAAUUCUACACGAUCCACUAUAAGUCAUAUUUUAUUUCAGGUGGUUUGAAUAGCUGUGAUACAUUAAUGAUGCCUGCCAACGAUUCUGAAUUGUGUACAGUCUGUAAUAUUUCUUCUUCAAGGGACCAGUCAAGUCGAUGUGACAGUUCCCUGUUGGCCCACUACCAUCUGCCCCGCAUGGUGCGCGACACCAGACACUGGAGCAGCUGGGUCGCCACUCAUCAACGCAGAGUGAAACAGUGCUUUGACCGCUCCCACAGGGUUAAAAGCCCCACACUUGCUCCACUGGACUGAUUGAGGAUCCGCAGGCCUACCCGGGGGCCACAAGCUCAAGUCAUUCUGUUCUGCCCCACUGCAAGUGACUGAGCAGCUGGGUCCCGCCAUUUUCCGCCGUGUUCACAAGGUGCCGCCGCCUACUGCAACAGACCUGGAGGCGACUGGCCCGUACAAGGGCCCAUCCAGGCCAUCUCAUGGACUAUGUACUCUGACAAUAUGAAUGAUGNUCCUGGGUCUCCCCUGGGGAGGGGGGAAAUGUUAUGUCUGCUCUGUUGCCUGUGCUGAUUAGGGAUGCAAAUUAUCGAUUAAUUCAUUAAUCAUUAGUUGAUAGCCUUAUCGAUCGACUUACGAUUAAUUGAUAAGCGGCGUUUUCCCCCCGAAAAUCUCAAAGUUUCUCGAAAAAAAAGUACUAAAUCAAAACAUUUUAAUUAAACAUUGAGAUAAAAUACCACAUUUAAAUUAAUUGUAUUUCAACUCUUUAAUCCAAAUGUGAUUUAAAUAUUCCCACUAUUCACACCCCUUUUCACACACACUCUUCACAUGCCCAUUUCACCUGCGUCUCUUGUCAGUUGAAUUGUCGAUUAAUUGCGAUUAAUGUUUUUUAAUCGAUUAACACAUUGAUCGAUUAAAGUCGAUUAAUCGAUUAAUCGUUUGCAUCCCUAGUGCUGAUAUUUCAUAUUUCCUGAUGCUACUUGAAGACGACAUAAUAACAUUUGUGCAGGGCAUGCUGGGAUGCGAGUUCAGUGAAAUAAACGUCUGGUAUGGCUAGACUUUGACA